UACAGAGGGGGCAAGCGUUGUUCGGAAUUACUGGGCGUAAAGGGCGCGUAGGCGGCCUUCUAAGUCGAACGUGAAAUCCCUGGGCUCAACCCAGGAACUGCGUCCGAUACUGGAAGGCUUGAAUCCGGGAGAGGGAUGCGGAAUUCCAGGUGUAGCGGUGAAAUGCGUAGAUAUCUGGAGGAACACCGGUGGCGAAGGCGGGUCUCUGGGCCGAAACUGACGCUGAGGAGCGAAAGCGUGGGGAGCGAACAGG
rnacentral:rRNA from 1 species